CCUCUUUCAUUAUUUUAUCUUACCUCCAAUUUUUUUAGAUUCCCUCCAUUCCUUUUUUUCCAUCAAAAUCAAACUUUUCCCUCUUUGAAAUAUUGAUUUCAUAGAUUAUCUUUUCUAUCCCUCAUAUCUAUCUCCACAUAUCACCCGUUUCUCGCCGUCGUAAAGGCUAUUAGCCACCAUGGAUGCUAACUAACUCUCAUUUGAACUUUUUCUCUAUCAUUCCUUUCUCACAAACCAAGUAGGUAGUAGCGCCUCUUCUUCUGCUCUCAAGGAAGUUCGAUCCGUUGGUUUUCCUUUUGCAUUACAGAGGAAAAAGCAGAUGAGGGAAGUGAUGGAGAAAGCCGGGAAGGUGAUUGUGAAAUUUCAUAUAUGGAAUAUACAAGAUUUAUUUGGCUUAAGCACGGGGAUGAAUGCAGAGACCAGUACAUGGGUAGGAAAUUAAAUAAAGAGAGGGAGAAGUAUCAUGAUUGUCAUCAUAGAGAUCAUUACAUGAAUCGAAAUGACAAAAAGGAAAAGGAGAGGACAAAGAUAGAGAUGAAGAAGAUCAUCAUCAAAUUUGAGAUUUUGACCAGUACUGAAAGGUUGGAUCACCGUUAUAGGGAGUCUAAAGUGUUGAUGAGCUCAUGAGAGUAGGUCGUACAUGAUGUUCAAAAUUUGGCAUCUGGAAGACUUUAUUUUGAUCAAGAGUUUGAAGAAGUUUUUAUGCGUUGUGUAUUGUAUAGUGUAGUAGCUAUUUGGUACACUAGUUAUUAGACACAAAAUGACACUAGAUAUAUGAUCCAAAUAAUUUAGUUUAUUUAUCAUGUUGACGCUUUUGAAAUUAUAGACUAGUAGUUAUUUUUG